GAACCACUUUUAACGGCCGCGGUAUCCUAACCGUGCAAAGGUAGCAUAAUCACUUGUCCCCUAAAUAGGGACUAGCAUGAAAGGCCAAACGAGGGCCCAACUGUCUCCUGGAGCCCACCAAUAAACCUGAUCUCCCAGUACAAAAGCUGAGAUAAACACAUUAGACGAGAAGACCCUGUGGAGCUUUAAGCCCAAGUAUCAACACCAAAACUACCAUUGAUACACGCUUUCAGUUGGGGCGACUAUGGAGUAAAACAAAACCUCCACGACACUACCACAGCGUAACCUAAGACCCACACGUCAACCCAUAAAUACUAUGACCCAGUCAAACUGAUCAACGAACCAAGUUACCCCAGGGAUAACAGCGCCAUCCUCCCCAAGAGUCCAUAUCGCCAGGAGGGCUUACGACCUCGAUGUUGGAUCAGGACACCCAGGUGGUGCAGCCGCUACCAAAGG
rnacentral:rRNA from 1 species